rnacentral:rRNA from 1 species
CCCUUAGAUGUUCUGGGCCGCACGCGCGCUACACUGACACGUUCAUCAAGUCUAUAACCUUGACCGAGAGGUCUGGGUAAUCUUUUAAAAACGUGUCGUGCUGGGGAUAGAUUAUUGCAAUUAUUAAUCUUCAACGAGGAAUUCCUAGUAAACGCAAGUCAUCAACUUGCAUUGAUUACGUCCCUGCCCUUUGUACACACCGCCCGUCGCUACUACCGAUUGAAUGAUUUAGUGAGUACCAGGGACCGAGCGCUUUGGUUGGGUUUCCUUCCCUAGCGCUUGGGAACUGUCGCAAACUUGACCAUUUAGAGGAGGUAAAAGUCGUAACA